rnacentral:tRNA from 1 species
CUUAUAUAUUUAAAGAAGAAUAGUGCGUUGAAGUUGCAAAGGUAGCAAAGGCUUGUAAGUAU